rnacentral:rRNA from 1 species
GAGUUUGAUCUUGGCUCAGGAUGAACGCUAGCGACAGGCUUAACACAUGCAAGUCGAGGGGCAUCGGGGAUGAGCAAUCAUCUGCCGGCGACCGGCGCACGGGUGAGUAACACGUAUGCAACCUGCCCGUCACAGGGGGAUAAUCGAGAGAAAUCUCGUCUAAUACCGCAUACACUCUUCGGGAGGCAUCUCCGGGAGAGGAAAGAUUAAUUGGUGACGGAUGGGCAUGCGGGACAUUAGCUAGUUGGCGGGGUAACGCCCACA